rnacentral:rRNA from 1 species
CAUCAAUGAAGAACAUAGCGAACUGCGAUACUUUGUGUGAAUUGCAGAAUCCCGUGAACCAUCGAGUCUUUGAACGCAAGUGCGCCCGAAGCCUUCGGGUCGAGGGCACGUUUGCCUGGGUGUCA